GAUUCUACUUGAGCAGCAAGGCAUAAGGGAGCUCUAGUGCUGGAGCAACGGGAGGCACUGGGGGGGGGAGGUAGGUUUCUAAAUCUUACUGCGUGAACAAAGCAAUAGAGGGCUAACUCAGGGCGGGGUUUACAGUCACUGAGUAAACCUGGGAAAGAGACAAGUACUACUAAGCUGACUUUGAGAGUACAGGAACAGAGAUUACUAUGAGUAAAGACAUAGCAAUGCCAUUCAUAGUGUCAUGUAUAUUCUUGCAUUGGGCGUUUGGUAUUUAGGUUUUAAGCUGGAAUGGAUUUUUAAGGUUUUGUACGAAUGUAAGAUCAAAAUGACAAACACAACAAAACACGAUCAAGUUUAUGAAACAUAACAGAAGCAGUAGAAAGGUUGCAUUUUUCAGAUAGAGAGCAGAUAAUGUAGACAAAUAAAAGCAGCAAGAGAAAUUCAAGAUUCAUUGUGGAUUUUUAUUUUUUUUAAUUGUCUUAUGGCCAUGGUUUUAAGCUGAUUUCAUUUGAUGUGAGUUAUAUCAGCCAUAAACGAACAACAAACAAAAACAAUGAAUUCUCUAUUAAACUCAGUUCUGUUUUAUUAUGAUACCAAAUGAAAAGAUUCUUAACACGAUAAACUUCAAUGCACAUGAUUCUACAUGAGAGGAGCAGGUAAAAGAUGACACCGACCUCCAGUUUCAGAAGUAGCCACCCAGUGACCUUCAAUAGACAAAUGGGGAUUUGAACUCCGGCCUAACGCUGUUCCGACACCCAGCUCUCUUGUUUUCUGCUUCAACACAUGGGUGGCAGGGGGAGUCUCCCUGACACCCUUUUCUCUUCCUCCCCACCCAACAGCUUGCCAGCUUGCCAGCUCUGGUCUAUGGCCAUGGUUUUAAGCUGAUUUCAUUUGAUGUGAGUUAUAUCAGCCAUAAACGAACAACAAAUAAAAACAAUGAAUUCACUAUUCAACUCAGUUCUGUUUUAUUAUGAUACCAAAGGAAAAGAUUCUUAACAAUGGACAUGAUUCUACAUGAGAGGAGCAGGUAAAAGAUGACACCGACCUCGUUUCAGAGGUAGCCACCCAGUGACCCAGGCCUGAGUUCUAACGCCGUUCCGACACCCAGCUCUCUUGUUUUCUGCUUCAGCGUGUGGGUGGCUGGGGGAGUCUCCCUGACACCCUUUUCUCUUCCUCCCCACCCAACAGCUUGCCAGCUUGCCAGCUCUGGUCUAAAAGGAUUGUUUGCAGAGAGCUUUUGGAACAAGCUCCAAGGAGACAGACCAGUCACUGCUGCAAGGAAGUGGUGGCUUCAGAAGGCUCCUGGCCCUUUGAAAGCAUCUAGUUCCCACUCUCCUUGAAAUCAAUGGAACCCUGGAAUCAUAACCUGCUGUCUUCACAACUGAUAGAGCUGGAGUCCAUUAAUGCAUUCAGACUGACAUUCCUCUCAGGAGCUCUUGCAGCCCAAGAUGCAAAUGUGCUUCGUGCGCAACUCCAGCUGGGUAUCCCGAGAGGAAACGCCCAUCGUCUCCAGAAACCUAGGGGAAGGAAAGCAAGAGAGCAGAAACCAGGGUUCAGUUCCGGGAUUCAUUGAAAUGAAAACAAUUACUGGACGAAACACCUCGAAAUGUCCAGAGCUAGCACCGCUCCAUCUUUUCACAGUUCAAACAAGUUGUCUUUUGACGGCAGCCAGGCGCAUAAUGGCGAGAUACUUGAAGAAUUUGGGAGGCUGCCUCUUUGACAAACUGGUACAAUAAAAUGCGGCAAACAGAAGGUGUGGGGAAAUGGGACUGAGGACAUAAAGCUGGCAUAAGGUUUGAAGCAUGGCUUAUGCACAGAUUAAAUGAAUAGUUGGAAUCUGGCAACACUUCUGACUUCGCCACUCACGUGCGUUAGCGGAGAUUCCUGCAUUGCAGGGGGUUGGACUAGAUGGCCCUUAGGGGUCCCUUCCCUUUUAAAAUAAUUUUUAAUUUGAUUUUUAAAAAGUAUAAACACGUAACAAAAAAACCCAAAUAUUGAGAUUACUCUGAAUCUCCUGACUCCCCCCACUCAUCCCUUCUAUGGGUCCUACUGAUAUAUACAACUGCAUAUCAAUACUACCGUAAUCCAAAUUUUUAUCCUUCUAAAUUAUCCACACUUAACUGUUUCUUUACAAUUGUGAUUAAAAUCCUGCUAAUGUUUUAACUUGCUUACAGUAGUCUCGUAGAUAAAUUAUAAACUUUCCCCAUUUUUUCUUAAAGUUCUUGUCUUCUUGAUUUCUGAGCUUCCCAGUUAAUUUUGUCACCAACUUGGUUUGCCAUUCUUUUCUGGUCAUGGUUAUCUCUUCCUUCCAUCCCUGGGCUAAUUGGGGGAGGGGGGUCCCUUCCAACUCUACAAUUUUGUUAUUUUACAUGGGAAUUUUUUGAAUUAAAAAUUACAAUGUGCAUAUUGGAGCUGAAUUUUAAUUGCAGGAAAACAUAUGGAAAUCCAAGCCCUUCUGCUUUGCUAGCAUCUCGUACUGAGAACAGUUACUGGUAAAUUCUACUGCAUGCCAUCUAUGAAAAGACAUGCAAUAUCACAGGCUAAAGACUUCAAUGCGACUCUCCUAAUAAUAAUAAUAAUUUUUAUUUAUACCCCGCUCUCCCCAGCCAAGGCCGGGAUCAGGGCGGCUUACAUGCAAUAAUAAAAACAAGUUGAAUGAUUACAACUUAAAAACAAAAUUAAAAUACAACAUUAAAAUAUUGAAACAUUAAAAUAUUAAAAUGUAUCCUCAUCGCAGGAGUAGAAGGAAAAGAAAAAAGAGAGGGAGGGAGGGAAUCAAAUUGGCUCCAAGCCAAAGGCCAGGUGGAAUAACUCUGUCAUACAGGCCCUGACUUAACCAUGGUUCCUUGGCCCUUCCACAUCUGGCUUACUCCAGCAAACAGAUUUUGUCACCUUCGCUCUGUGUUUUGGAGAAGUGAUUUCGCCUCCUCAGGCUGGGCUUCCAGAUAAAGUUGGUACUGCGAGAGUGACUGGAUAUAUCCUAUUACGUCAGCAACGCUCAGGGGAAUUUUAUCGAAAAUAUCCGUCAUCCUGGAAAGAAGCAGAAAGCUUUAGGAGAAGUUUGGGGCUGAGUUGAGAGUACGGAAAUCUUUUGACUACGGAAGUGGUGUCAAUCAUAUGUAUGUUUGCUCAGGAGAGUGUGGCUGUUCAACUUAGUGACUUUGACCGUAUUGUUCUGGACUUCCCAAUUUGUAUUUGUUUAGUUACAAAAAUAUUUGAUGCUGCUGUGUCAUAAAAAUAUAUCAAAGCCGUUUACAGCAACAAAAUCAUACAACUUACAAAUUCAGUAAGUUGGU